AUUAACGACUGGCGGCGAUGCCUUACACAUGCAAGUCGAACGGCAGCACGGGGCAACCUGGUGGCGAGUGGCGAACGGGUGAGUAAUACAUCGGAACGUGCCCAAUCGUGGGGGAUAACGUAGCGAAAGUUACGCUAAUACCGCAUACGAUCUACGGAUGAAAGCGGGGGAUCGCAAGACCUCGCGCGAAUGGAGCGGCCGAUGUCAGAUUAGGUAGUUGGUGGGGUAAAGGCUCACCAAGCCAACGAUCUGUAGCUGGUCUGAGAGGACGACCAGCCACACUGGAACUGAGACACGGUCCAGACUCCUACGGGAGGCAGCAGUGGGGAAUUUUGGACAAUGGGCGAAAGCCUGAUCCAGCCAUGCCGCGUGCAGGAUGAAGGCCUUCGGGUUGUAAACUGCUUUUGUACGGAACGAAAAGACUCUGGUUAAUACCUGGGGUCCAUGACGGUACCGUAAGAAUAAGCACCGGCUAACUACGUG
rnacentral:rRNA from 1 species